GCGGGCAUAGUUUAGUGGUAAAACGUCUGCCUUCCAAGCAGAAUAUCGGAGUUCGAUUCCCCGUGCCCGCACAA
rnacentral:tRNA from 1 species